rnacentral:rRNA from 1 species
UUUCCCAUUCCGCAAGGAAGUAAGGUCCCUGAAAGAUGAUCAGGUUGAUAGGUCUGAGGUGGAAGUGUGGCGACACAUGGAGCUGACAGAUACUAAUCGAUCGAGGACUUAACCUAA